rnacentral:piRNA from 1 species
UGACUAACAUGAAGCUCUUAAUU